UCUGACAGCUAUUCAUAUUAUUCCUGGUACUACUUAGGACAGAGGAGAUAGACUUUUGGCACAGCUGGCAAAACAAUGAGAAAUGCCAUCCCAAUUUUCCACCAGUUUGAAAAAGCAAACAUACUCUACAUUACUUGACCUCUUCAGCAACUUUUGACCGAGGAUCACAGAGCUGGGUGUCACCCAGGCUGAAGGCUGGAGGAAAAGGCACGUGUAGAGGACAGGGAAGUAGUACCUAGAGGGAGAGAAGCGGGCGCAGGAGGAAGAGCUGCUCUCAACUAGCACUUCAGCAAAAGGCUGACUUUCAUGGGUGCCUGCCUGAUGCCUACGUUGAGUUUACCUGAGCUAAAGUGGGGAUUGAAUUUUGACCAGUCUGCGUCUGCAUGUGAGCAGAUUCGCUCUCUGCCACAGAAUCUGGUAAACCUCCAUCCUGCUGAGAGUCAAUUGUUUCGAUGGUCAUUUGUCUGAAAAGACAAUAAAAAGGAAGAAGAAUUAA